UACAGAGGUCCCGAGCGUUGUCCGGAUUUACUGGGCGUAAAGAGCGCGCAGGCGGUCGUUCAAGUCGAGUGUGAAAGCCCCCGGCUCAACUGGGGAGGGUCACUCGAUACUGAUCGACUCGAAGGCAGGAGAGGGUAGUGGAAUUCCCGGUGUAGUGGUGAAAUGCGUAGAGUAUCGGGAGGAACACCAGUGGCGAAGGCGACUACCUGGCCUGUUCUUGACGCUGAGGCGCGAA
rnacentral:rRNA from 1 species